rnacentral:misc_RNA from 1 species
GAUGAAGAACGCAGCGAAAUGCGAUAAGUAGUGUGAAUUGCAGAAUUCAGUGAAUCAUCGAAUCUUUGAACGCACAUUGCGCCCCUUGGUAUUCCGGGGGGCAUGCCUGUCCGAGCGUCAUUGCUGCCCUCAAGCACGGCUUGUGUGUUGGGCCUCCGUCCUCCUCCCGGGGGACGGGCCCGAAAGGCAGCGGCGGCACCGCGUCCGGUCCUCGAGCGUAUGGGGCUUCGUCACCCGCUCUUGUAGGCCCGGCCGGCGCUUGCCGACACAUCAAUCUUUUUUCCAGGUUGACCUCGGAUCAGGUAGGGAUACCCGCUGAACUUAAGCAUAUCAAUAAGCGGAGGA